UUGACUAAACUUUGCAACCUAUACAAGUUUUUUUGGGAUUUCGACAAAAUAUAAACAAAAUUCCCGAGAAGAUACUUAAAACAUUUACUCAUCCAUGACAACUGACUGAAAAAAUUUGGGUUGUCGUCUAGCUCAUAAUCAUAUACAAGGUCAAUACCAAAUUCUAGCACAGAUAAAUCUGAAAGAACCCGAAGAGUAAUAUGAUCACCAGCUUCUAAUUCAUCACCCCUAAAGUUCCAACAAGUCGUCCAGUAUAAGGUAUUCUUAGUUUCAGGAAUUCCCAUGAAAUGUUUGGAGUAGGUCCACUUUGUACCUUUGGUCUCGUUCACAAUUUCAAGGAAUGGUAAAAAU